rnacentral:rRNA from 1 species
AGAGUUUGAUCCUGGCUCAGGACGAACGCUGGCGGCGCGCCUAACACAUGCAAGUCGAACGAGAGAUGAGGAGCUUGCUCUUCAAAUCGAGUGGCGAACGGGUGAGUAACGCGUGAGGAACCUGCCUCAAAGAGGGGGACAACAGUUGGAAACGACUGCUAAUACCGCAUAAGCCCACGGCUCGGCAUCGAGCAGAGGGAAAAGGAGCAAUCCGCUUUGAGAUGGCCUCGCGUCCGAUUAGCUAGUUGGUGAGGUAACGGCCCACCAAGGCGACGAUCGGUAGCCGGACUGAGAGGUUGAACGGCCACAUUGGGACUGAGACACGGCCCAGACUCCUACGGGAGGCAGCAGUGGGGAAUAUUGCACAAUGGGGGAAACCCUGAUGCAGCGACGCCGCGUGGAGGAAGAAGGUCUUCGGAUUGUAAACUCCUGUUGUUGAGGAAGAUAAUGACGGUACUCAACAAGGAAGUGACGGCUAACUACGUGCCAGCAGCCGCGGUAAAACGUAGGUCACAAGCGUUGUCCGGAAUUACUGGGUGUAAAGGGAGCGCAGGCGGGAGAACAAGUUGGAAGUGAAAUCCAUGGGCUCAACCCAUGAACUGCUUUCAAAACUGUUUUUCUUGAGUAGUGCAGAGGUAGGCGGAAUUCCCGGUGUAGCGGUGGAAUGCGUAGAUAUCGGGAGGAACACCAGUGGCGAAGGCGGCCUACUGGGCACCAACUGACGCUGAGGCUCGAAAGUGUGGGUAGCAAACAGGAUUAGAUACCCUGGUAGUCCACACCGUAAACGAUGAUUACUAGGUGUUGGAGGAUUGACCCCUUCAGUGCCGCAGUUAACACAAUAAGUAAUCCACCUGGGGAGUACGACCGCAAGGUUGAAACUCAAAGGAAUUGACGGGGGCCCGCACAAGCAGUGGAGUAUGUGGUUUAAUUCGACGCAACGCGAAGAACCUUACCAAGUCUUGACAUCCCUUGACGAACAUAGAAAUAUGUUUUCUCUUCGGAGCAAGGAGACAGGUGGUGCAUGGUUGUCGUCAGCUCGUGUCGUGAGAUGUUGGGUUAAG